GGAUGUAGCUCAGUGGUAGAGGGCUCCCCUCACAUGCAGGAGGCCCUGGGUUCAAUCCUCAGCACCA
rnacentral:tRNA from 1 species